GGGGCCUUGGCGCAACGGUAGCGCGUCUGACUCCAGAUCAGAAGGUUAUGUGUUCGAAUCACAUAGGCCUCA
rfam:Spizellomyces punctatus DAOM BR117 chromosome Tnknown supercont1.1, whole genome shotgun sequence.